GGGGAGUACGGUCGCAAGAUUAAAACUCAAAGGAAUUGACGGGGACCCGCACAAGCGGUGGAUGAUGUGGAUUAAUUCGAUGCAACGCGAACAACCUUACCUACCCUUGACAUGUCCGGAAGGCUGCUGAAAGGCGGCUGUGCCCGAAAGGGAACUGGAACACAGGUGCUGCAUGGCUGUCGUCAGCUCGUGUCGUGAGAUGUUGGGUUAAGUCCCGCAACGAGCGCAACCCUUGUCCUUAGUUGCUACGCAAGGGCACUCUAAGGAGACUGCCGGUGACAAACCGGAGGAAGGUGGGGAUGACGUCAAGUCCUCAUGGCCCUUAUGGGUAGGGCUUCACACGUCAUACAAUGGUCGGUACAGAGGGUAGCCAACCCGCGAGGGGGAGCCAAUCCCAGAAAGCCGAUCGUAGUCCGGAUCGCAGUCUGCAACUCGACUGCGUGAAGUCGGAAUCGCUAGUAAUCGCGGAUCAGCAUGUCGCGGUGAAUACGUUCCCGGGUCUUGUACACACCGCCCGUCACACCAUGGGAGUGGAAUCCGCCAGAAGUAGGUAGUCUAACCGCAAGGGGGACGCUUACCACGGUAGGUUUCAUGACUGGGGUGAAGUCGUAACAAGGUAGCCGUAUCGGAAGGUGCGGCUGGAUCACCUC
rnacentral:rRNA from 1 species